GGUCCCAGCCCUACGUUGACUUUUGUGCAGAGUGCAGGAGGAGCUGUGGAAAUGGCUGAGCAGAGUGCCGUGACAGAAAACGCACAAAACGUGCAGUCCAUCCAGUCGGUGCCACUGGAAAAGGAACGGGAUUUUUUAGAUUUUGUGCUCUCUUCUUUGGGCACUACGACGAGGUGCUGAGGAGAAAAAUACAAAUAAAUGGAGCUGUGCGCCGUGCCAUAGUGGACAAGCUCUUUGCCGCAUACAUCAAGAUCGCAUGGUACCCGUCCAGGCAGCUCUAUCGGGUAGCUGCUGAGAGAUUGGUCACCGCUCAUCCACACCUUGCAGAUAGGGUCGGUUGCAGCCUGGAAUCAUGGGUGAUGGCCCUGAGGAACAAGUUCCAACAACACAGGAAAAAAGCUACAAAACUGCUUGGAGGAAAUGCUAAUUCAAAAGAAAUGCUGUCUGCCAAAGCAAAUGCAGGCACCAUCUGAAGAAGUGGCAAACAACAAAUUGUGCCGUCUUUUUGACUGCAGCCAUCUUACUACAUAUGGAGAAACCGUUGAGUCCUUGCAAAUUCAUAACGAAAGGCUCCAGAAUAAUGCAGCCUGCCACGAUGAAGCAACAGGAAGGCCAAGGUUGCGGGCAACAGCACUGGACAGGCUUAAAGAGCUUCGCAGCCUCACCCUGUCGGAUGCUCUUUUACUGUUUCCAUUUCUUGGAACUGAGGCAUUGGAACAAGCCCUGCUCACACCUUGCCUUGUGGAGAAAGGACUUACUCUACACAUUGACGGGGAGCCCGUUUUGAGUGUGCCAUCACUUCUUGCAGGAAUGGCGUGCCUGUUUGCAUCGUUUUGGGUAUUCCAUGUGGAAUACCCAAAAAAAGGCACACAAAAUGCUCACAUUCUUUGAGCACGCGUUCCUACACCUUUCACGCAUGAAGCCGAGUGUCAAAGCUCUGGAACUUAUGAAUUUUUUUUAAUGAGUAACAUUAAUUUAGUUUCACAAUUGUAGUUUUGUAGUUUUCUUCAAGUACGUUGUGCAAGCUGGCAUUUUGGACUUCUGUGCCUUGAGAAGAGGUGAAAAAAAAAGUAUGACAGACAAAUGUUAAUAUUGCAUUUUUUUGUGCAAGGUUUUUUUUUUUUCUUAAACCUUGGCCAUGUGUCGCAUGUGGAAUACGGCGUGCACUUGUACAACCAAUGUGUACAUUUUUUUAUUGCAAUAUUGCAAACAAGUUCUGUGGUAUCCCGCAAGGUGGAGGAAAGAUUAAGAAAGGGAAAAUAGACAACCACCUGUUUGUAGCAUGAAGCCACAAGAAAAUUCAUGCAGCUUUCUUAGGGAAAAAAAAGCUUCUUCGUUGCCGAAAAAUUCGUCCUAGUUCGGGGUCCCGGACCAGGACGAAUUUUUCGGCAACGAGGAAGCUUUUCUUUCGGCUAAAUCCAUAUGGAUUGCCUUGUGGCUUCGUGCUACAAACGGGUGGUUAUCUGUUUUCUCUUUCUUAACCUUUCCUCCACCUUGCGGGAUUCCACAGAACUCAUAGCUUUUUAGUUGCUGAAAAAUUUUUCCUGGUCCGGGGUCUGGGACCCCAGAAAAGAACGAAUUUUUCGGCAACUAAAAAGCUUUUCUUUCUGAGAAAUCCAUAUGGAUUUCCUUGUCGCUUCAGGCUACAAAUGGGUGAUUGUCUAUUUCCCCUUUCUUAAAAUUUUUUUUUAUUAUUAAACCAUGCCUGGCAGCAUUUAUAAAAAUAAUUUUCAUUUUGUGAUGUCAACAAUGUGCCCAUGGCCUCGCAGGUUGGCUACUUGCUCUAAAAUGUUUUAUCCACCAUUGCAAUUUUGAGAUGGGCCACCCAGGUCUUGAGUAUUCAGUGAGAAAGCCUAGUCACUUUUGAAUGUUGUGACAUCAUGAGUGAUAAAAUGGUGACUACAGGUACCUUAUUUGCAUUUGUAUUGUUUGUGUAUGGUAUAUGUGGUAGCCAUAUAUUAUAGGUUAUAUUUAAGGUAUCCAUGUUUACAAGUUUGUCAGUCUUUUUGUCAUGAAACAAAUGUGAUCAGUUGACCUGUCUCAAUAUAUUUUUAAGGUAUCCAUGAUUUAUUUCACUGUGCUAAGUCAUGGUGAACAGAAUAAUUGCAGCCGUGAAAAUUGCUGUUAAAUUUAGUUGGCAGCACAGAUCUCUAGUCAUGUGUGAAAGUGCUACUUCGUAUGCUAGCUCGUCGCAUAACGUUGGACUUGUGGAAGUCAUCAUCUACAUUUACAAGUGCACGGCUGCAUGCCUUGGACCCUGAUCUUGAAUUACGCAUCCCGUCCACCUUAUCACGACGUGACGCUACCCUGCUGGUCCGUCUA